UACAGAGGGUGCGAGCGUUAAUCGGAAUUACUGGGCGUAAAGCGCACGUAGUCGGCUUUGCAAGUCGGUUGUGAAAUCCCCGGGCUUAACCUGGGAACUGCAUUUGUGACUGUACGGCUAGAGUGUGUCAGAGGGGGGUAGAAUUCCACGUGUAGCAGUGAAAUGCGUAGAGAUGUGGAGGAACACCGAUGGCGAAGGCAGCCCCCUGGGUUAACACUGACGCUCAGGCACGAAAGCGUGGGGAGCAAACAGG
rnacentral:rRNA from 1 species